rnacentral:lncRNA from 1 species
CCGGAUGGUUCCACCUAAUUAAAUAAAUUUUUAGCAUACUAUUAUUUUUAAAAAUCUACGUAAUAAUUAUAAAAUAUAAUAUAAAAUUUACCUCGUUAUGAGUGAGAAUGUAUAUGGGUGGUCCACUCGAGGACGUAAAAAUAGAAAGCGAAACUGUGUCCAUGAUUGCAGUAGUGACAGGCAACCUCCGAUUUUCUCUUUACUCGAUUGCGUCGCCCCG